AACAACAAUCUUUGAAAUUAAGCGUGAAUGCUGUAACCGGUGGCCACAGACUGGGCUGCGAUUUAACCCUAUGGGGCAAAUGCAUAUUAUCAAUUUG